UAGAAUUCUCAUUACAGACAUGAAUGGCAG
rnacentral:piRNA from 1 species